rnacentral:tRNA from 1 species
GCUGAUGUGGCACAGUCGGUAGCGCAACGCCUUGGUAAGGCGUAGGUCGUGGGUUCAAGUCCCAUCAUCAGCUCCA